AGUGAACGCUGGCGGUAGGCCUAACACAUGCAAGUCGAACGGCAGCACAGAGGAGCUUGCUCCUUGGGUGGCGAGUGGCGGACGGGUGAGGAAUACAUCGGAAUCUACUCUGUCGUGGGGGAUAACGUAGGGAAACCUACGCUAAUACCGCAUACGACCUACGGGUGAAAGCAGGGGAUCUUCGGACCUUGCGCGAUUGAAUGAGCCGAUGUCGGAUUAGCUAGUUGGCGGGGUAAAGGCCCACCAAGGCGACGAUCCGUAGCUGGUCUGAGAGGAUGAUCAGCCACACUGGAACUGAGACACGGUCCAGACUCCUACGGGAGGCAGCAGUGGGGAAUAUUGGACAAUGGGCGCAAGCCUGAUCCAGCCAUACCGCGUGGGUGAAGAAGGCCUUCGGGUUGUAAAGCCCUUUUGUUGGGAAAGAAAUCCAUCUGGUUAAUACCCGGGUGGGAUGACGGUACCCAAAGAAUAAGCCACGGCUAACUACGUGCCAGCCGCCGCCGUAA
rnacentral:rRNA from 1 species